GACAGAGGGUGCAAACGUUGUUCGGAAUUACUGGGCGUAAAGCGUGUGUAGGCGGCCAGGCAAGUCGGAUGUGAAAGCCCCGGGCUCAACCCUGGAAGUGCACUCGAUACUGCUCGGCUAGAGUCCCGGAGAGGAUGGUGGAACUCUCGGUGUAGAGGUGAAAUUCGUAGAUAUCGAGAAGAACACCGGUGGCGAAGGCGGCCAUCUGGACGGUGACUGACGCUGAGACGCGAAAGCGUGGGGAGCAAACAGG
rnacentral:rRNA from 1 species